rnacentral:snoRNA from 1 species
AGCUAUGAUGAAAAUGGUUUCACUUCUUUCCUUGUCCGAUUCGACUAUGACGAUAGGAAGCUAAUGAGUUUUACUCACACUCCAUGGUUUUCAAAGUUUAGAUAUCUUGUUAUCUGAAUGGUUUGGACCUUUCUUGCCAUUGUUACAACAACAAUUGUCUCUGAGCU